AGAAUAGAGAAUAAUGAAGUGCUUAAAUACAAAGAAAAGGAAUAAUGAGGUGCUAAAAUACAAAGAAUAGAGAAUAAUGAGGUGCUAAAAUAUAAAGAAUAGAGAAUAAUGAGGUGCUAAAAUAUAAAGAAUAGAGAAUAAUGAGGUGCUAAAAUAUAAAGAAUAGAGAAUAAUGAGGUGCUAAAAUAUAAAGAAUAGAGAAUAAUGAGGUGCUAAAAUAUAAAGAAUAGAGAAUAAUGAGGUGCUAAAAUAUAAAGAAUAAAG